rnacentral:lncRNA from 1 species
GAAACGUGGAAAAUAUGUGACUCCCCAGAGUGUAUUCAAAGAGCCAAACUAAUAAAUGAAUCGCUUAACACCACCAUUGAUCCUUGUAACGACUUCUAUUCAUUCGUUUGCAACCGGUGGGAAAAGAAGCAUCAAGAUCCAUGUCUUAACGGAAGCUAUGAUGCUUUUCAGGAGAUUGAUAACGAUAUUCCUGAAAAGCUAAGCUAUAUUCUUGGAAACAGAACUCUGGUUGAGUGUAACCAAACCAUAAUAGACAAGAUGGCAAUCACGUAUAAUGCGUGUUUAGCACUUCCAGAUCCUCGUGAUGCUUUGAUUAGAGUGCUGAAUGAAUCCGGUAUAAAUGCCUGGCCGAUUCUCACCGAAGGAAACGUAUUCAACUCCAGUAAUUGUACGGAUUUACUUCGCCAUAUGAACAUUUCUGCAAUUCUCCAUGUGCACAUUCCGAAAAUCAAAAAAGGCGGCGACUUCGGCGAAGAUCUUAGGAUUUAUUACAGAAUGGCG